rnacentral:rRNA from 1 species
UACCUACGGGGGGCAGCAGUGGGGAAUAUUGCGCAAUGGGCGAAAGCCUGACGCAGCGACGCCGCGUGAGGGAUGAAGGUCUUCGGAUCAUAAACCUCUGUCAGCAGGGAAGAACGGUCACUGUGCUAAUCAGCAGUGAAUUGACGGUACCUGCAAAGGAAGCACCGGCUAACUCCGUGCCAGCAGCCGCGGUAAUACGGAGGGUGCGAGCGUUAAUCGGAAUUACUGGGCGUAAAGCGCUCGUAGGCGGCAUGUCAAGCCAAGGGUGAAAUCCCCGCGCUCAACGGGGGAACUGCCUUUGAAAC